UCCCUGGUGGCCCAGUGGUUAAGACUCCAUGUUCCCAACACAGGGGGCCUGGGUUCGAUCCCCAGUCAGGGAA
rnacentral:tRNA from 1 species